CAGAGGGUGCGAGCGUUAAUCGGAUUUACUGGGCGUAAAGCGUGCGUAGGCGGCUUUUUAAGUCGGAUGUGAAAAUACCCCGACGCUUAACUUUAGGGAAGUUGUCAUUCGUAUACUGGGAAGGCUAGAGUAUGGGAGAGGAUGGUAGAAUUCCAGGUGUAGCGGUGAAAUGCGUAGAGAUCUGGAGGAAUACCGAUGGCGAAGGCAGCCAUCUGGCCUAAUACUGACGCUGAGGUACGAAAGCAUGGGGAGCAAACAGGAUU
rnacentral:rRNA from 1 species